ACACCACAGAAGCGCUUGAGCUGGCAUUAUUUAUGAGGAGGAUGUUAGUGGAGCUCCCAGAGCUGAUCAAGUGGACAAGGAAGGGGUAAGACAAGGAGCAGCAGCUGUGUAGACCUGGGCUGUUUUCAGAUGGUCCUAACGUGUCAAACCUGGCCACUUUAAGAUGAACAGGAUAUAUGGCACCUGAGCAAAACUCACAGGGCUGAGCUACAGAAAGCACUCUGGGGAUUACAGGUGCUCCAGUAGUCUGUAGAGGGGACAGAAUUGUACAGACUGAACUGGACAUGUAUUUUCAUCUGUCAUUCAAGGUAUUCUGUUCCUUCAGGCUGGCAGAAUGAUCUGGGGCCAUGGACACACUCACAGUUUGCUGGUGUGGGACCCACCAAAGGUGAUCCUGACAGGAUGUCUGGCUCUGUAAUGGUGUCUCCAGGGAGACUGGCAGAACUAUGUGCUGAUGUGCUUCAUGCCUUGGCAUUUCCUGCUCCCCAAGGUGCCCUGCAGUCCUCCCAUAAGGCCAACCUGUGAGAGCUUUCGUGCAGCAGUGGUUUCUUGCAAGAGGAUAACCAGCAAAUGCAGUGGUAAGCCCAGGACUGCUUGCUCUGCCCUUGCACUUGGGCAGCUGCCCUUCUGCUAGAUGAAAGAUUUGCAGAGCUACUGGGUGGACUGGAUUUGUGAGGAUGGUCUGGUUUUAAAAACAAUAGCUGGGAGAAAGAAAGUUAUUUUUAACCCAGAUUGGUUUAUUAUUCAUGCUUAGCAAGAGAACUUUGCAAAGUCAGGAAGGCAGGAGGGGGGGAGCAUGCUGCAGAGCAGGGGGCAGACUCAGCUGCUGCAAGUGGGGCUGUCAGGUUUAGCCUCUGGGUUUAGCCUCUGCUGUGAGCUCAGCUUCUGGAAAUGAGGCAGAUCUCACUCUGCUCCACAGUUUUUAUUUUUACAAGUCAUUGUCCUGGAUUUGAACUGAAAAAGCUGCUGCUUUCCAGAAAGAGCAUAUCUCUUGUUUGUUUUCCCUUCACCUCCAGGCCCUCAGUUUCUCUGAGCCCAGCUUAAAAUUAUGCUCUGGGGCAGUGGAGGAGGCCAGGUCAGGAGGAGAAGGUUAUGGUCACUUCUGGCUACCUGUGCUUUGACCUUCUGUCUGGCUGCCCAGGGGAGGCUGGGCUUGAGGCUUAUGGGAUGGGCAACAGAAAGAAACAAAAGUGAAAGUAAAAGCCUGGCUUUUAUGAUCCCCAUCUCUUUGUUGGUGUCACAGUUGUGCUAAACCCAUCCCUUUGUAGGGGGCUAAGCAAAACUGAGAGAUGAUGCCCAAGUUGGAAGGAAAGAGAAAAUUGUGGGUGUGCUGCCCUCAAGGCAUUAACUGAGGCAGGCUGUGGUCUGGCUGGACAAAGGCUGGACAUCCUCCUGCCCAUGGACACCUUUGUGGCAACUGUGAAAGCAGCCUGUGCUUCUUGAGCCUCAGGCACAGUGCCUGAAGUUCAGCAAUUACUCUCUUGUCUUCUUUCCUUGUUUUCCUUUAUCUUGGGAGAUUACUGAAUUGAGAGGCUGCUUCUUGUAACAAGGCCAGAGUAUGCUGGACUUAGCUGCAGGCAUCAGUUAAUAAACAGCAGAACAAAAGGCAGAGAGGUGCUGAGGGGGAGCGUGACAGAUUCCCCUGGAGCAGCAGCCCCCUUGUGUAUGGUGGGAGCAGAGGCAACCAAGAGCUGGGGCAGGAGUGUGAAUGCCUCUGGCAGUUAAGCUAAAUAUGAUACUAAAUUGCCUGGCUUUGUUACCUCCUCCCCACCCCAGGCAAGGCUCACAUUUGCCCUUGGGCCACGGUGGCUGCCCGGUCCGAGCUGUGGUGCCAGGUUCAGGUUCAGCACAGGGGGACCACCACAGCUCACAGUAUCAAUUCUGAUUUAUUACCUGAGUGGCUGCAGUAAGUUAUCGUUCAUCUCAGCAGGAGCCAGGACCAAUGUAAACAAAAGUGGUAUUUACUUGUCAUUCUUUGUUAUUGUUGUUAUUACUUCAUGCAGACCUUGUUGCACUGCCUAUCUGUAAGGUUGCCUGCCACUUUCCUUCAGGAAAAGCUAUUCCCAACUCCUUCUAACAAUACUUAUUCAUUUGGAUUGUGAUUUUCCACACUGGAUAUUGGGCUGAGACUGAGUAGCUUUGGAACGUUUCCAAGCCUUUGUGGUUUGAGUGGUCUUUUUGAGGUGUUACCUGAGGAAUAUGCACGAUUUUGUCCAUGUUUAACUGUGUAUCCAUGGUUUGAAGUGGGGAGGUGGUAUUUGUUGUCUUCUGCCAAGUUUUGCAAUAUUAGAUGUCUGUGGAAAUAGGUGUGUUUGUGUGGCAAAAGCAAGGCCAGCAUGUAACUCUGCCCUUAAAGCAGUGAGGAAGUGGUUUCCUUUGAAUAAGGACUGCAGGGUUUGGCAGUAAUUCAAACCUCUGUCUUUAAUAUAGAAUUGGAUUUCUUUUCAACACAUACAAAAUAAAAUGGGAAGCACCUUUCCCUCCUCCAGGAAAACACAGCAACUAGUAAAAAAGAGUUGUUUCUAUAGACCAUCACACGCUCAGGUGUUUGAGUUGCAGUCUCGUUACAUUAACAGUGCAGCAAAAACCACGUCUUGUCAUCUGUUUGGAUCCAGGAGCCCAGAAACAGUGACAUUCUAUUUCUGUGUACAGUUGCUGAACCUCUAUUAAGGUGCAUGGUGUUUGAUUUUUCUGUCUUUACAUGUUCACAUCCCCGUGGUUACUGUUGUGUUAAAGUCUGAUCGAAGAAAAGAGAGAUGAUGCUUUUAGUUAUUUAACGCUGUGUGGAAAGGGCUCUGUGGGAAAGUCAGUUCUAGUUUGUACAGGCAAAAAAGUCUCAAGUACUUUUUCAAUUGGAAUGCUCACUGGGGAAAAAGGAAAGAAAAGGCAGGGGUGUUUGGCAGGCUAUGCAUGAUAAUGUGGUCUUUUGUUUUGUUUCUGGUAUGAAGCUGUCAUUGCUUGUUUUUUCAUGUAUUGACUAGAGCUCCCUGCUGAAAUAGAAAGGCUCAUAGAAUCAUAGAAUGGUAGGGGUUGGAAGGGACCUUUAGAGAUCAUCUCAUGCAACCCCCCCUGCAGAAGCAUCCCAUUACCCCUUGUCCUGUUGCUAGAUACCAUAGAAAAAAGUGCUGUCCCAACCUCCUGACAACCCACCCUUUAGAUAUUUGUAAAUAUUAAUGAGAUCCCCCCUCAGUCUCCCCUUUUCUAGACUAAACAGCCCCAGUUCCCACAGCAUUUCCUCAUAAGGAAGAUGCUCCGGUCCCCUGGGCAGCCUGUUCCAAAGCUUUAUAACCUUCUCCUUCCUAAUGUCCAAUCUAAACCUCCCCUGGCACAACUUGAGCCCAUUUCCUCAUGUUCUAUCAUUCAUUACUGGAGAGAUCUACCGAGGGUGCACUCAAUCUCCUCAUCCAGAUCAUCCAUAAACAAAACAGGCCCUAGUAUCAAGCAGACUUGUCCUCGAGGAUGUUCCAUUGGAGAACUCAGAUUGGGAGCUAUAUAUGGAUGGCAGUAGCUUUGUACAAGAAGGCAAGUGUCUGUCAGGGUGUGCUGUAACCACUACUGACCAGGUAAUUGAAUCAUGGACAUUACCUUCCCCAAGGUAUCUGCACAAAAAGGUGAAUUAACAGCCCUCACUUGGGCACUGGACCUGAGUGAAGGAAAAUGAGUUAAUAUCUAUCUGACAGACUGGAAAUAUGCAUUUGAAAUAGUACAUGCUCCCAGUGCAAUCCCCAGAGAAGGAGGAUUGUUAUCUGCUCAAGGAACAACAAUGCAACAUGCAACUCGAAUUCAGGAACUCUUGGAAAAUAUCAAAAGGCCCCAGGAGGUGGCAGUCAUGCCUUGUAAGGCACAGCAGACAGGUGAGACUGUCCCAGAACUGCCAGAUCAAAUGGCUGAUACAGCUGCCAAAAGGGCAGCAGAAAAGGGCAUGUUAGCUCAUGUACUGGAAAAAGGGGAACAUCUUCAUCAGAAAAAACACAUUGUGCUUGUAAAGAUGAAAAGUUAAGUGGAACCUUACAGGCUAAAGAACAGACUAAGGGAUGGUCUGUCACACCAACAGCCCUCCACCCUCCAUGAGGAUUCUGUGGCCUGGUGCAGUCAGAGCUGUUCCUGACAUGACUAUCCCCUGAAUUCUAAAAAUGGCCUUGGUGCAAACCCCGUGCCCCUGAGCUCCAGCACAUGGGGCUCCUGCACUAUGCCAAGGUGGUGAACUAAAUUUCUCAACGAGGAACUGAGCUGUGUGGAUACAGAACAGAGCUACCCACAGAUGGAUGAAGGAGCUCAGAGUGCAGGAUAAAGGAAGAAGAGGUAGAAAGAAAACAUCAUCAGCUGAAGGCGUGAUUCUGAGGCCUGUAGCUGCUCCUCGAAGUAAAGCAGCUGAUCCACUUCGAAGCAAUCGCUUGCCCUGGAAACCAAUUUCUCCAGCUGUCUCCUGAGCUCCUCCUCACUGGCAUUCAGCUGCCUCGCUUGCUUGAGAGAGCUGUACACAGCCUCAAACACCUCUGCUCCCAGCUUCCCAAUGGCAGAUCUGCAGAUACAACGUCACAUAAAGCGCUCUCCUUUUAUGAGAAGACAGAUCUGCAAUUCAGUGUCAAAGAAUACACUCACAGGACCUUAAUGUUGACUUCUAAAGAACACCCAUUUGCAAACUGCAAGACAGUGAACAGCACUUCUUUUUCUAGAGGCAUGCAUUGUUACAUUCCUGUGCCACAAGCCACAGUUAACACACUUUUCCACUGUCAUGGGUUCGUAACAUUUUGAUGAAAAUAUCAAGAGUAAUUUUCCUUCAGCAUUUCAGAAACUAUCAUCUGCCCACUCUGCACAUCUGCCACAGGACUUGUGUUGUCUUCCUUCAGGAAACUUGUCUGUGUUAACACAGUUGAGAUUUGACUGUCUUUUACCUUCAGACUUGCCCAUUUUAGGGGUGAUGGUGCCCUUCAUGAGUUAGAAAGUGAGCUGUACUAAUUGGGAUCACCUUGCAGGAACACCUGAAACUUGCAUUUAAGAAUGUGUUAUUUUGGUUAGAUAAAGUUGUGGGAAGCAGCCUUUCCUCCCACUGGCAUUUUGCAAGGAUUCCAAGAGUAUUUAGGUGGGACAAUCAUUCCUUUUUCCAUCAUGCCACGAAGAUUUCUUCAAUAAAGCUUCUCAGCAUAUCCAAACAA